rnacentral:rRNA from 1 species
AGUAACGCGUGGGUAACCUGCCUCGUACAGGGGAUAACAGUUAGAAAUGACUGCUAAUACCGCAUGAGCGCACAGUGCUGCAUGGCACAGUGUGAAAAACUCCGGUGGUAUGAGAUGGACCCGCGUCUGAUUAGCUAGUUGGUGGGGUAACGGCCUACCAAGGCGACGAUCAGUAGCCGGCCUGAGAGGGUGAACGGCCACAUUGGGACUGAGACACGGCCCAA